GAAACGACUGCUAAGACUGGAUAGGAAGAUAAAAGGCAUCUUGUAUCUUUUAAAAGACCUAGUUAAUAGGUAUGCUUUAGGAGGGGCUUGCGCCAUAUUAGUUAGUUGGUAGGGUAAUGGCCUACCAAGACGAUGAUGUGUAGCUGGACUGAGAGGUUGAACAGCCACAUUGGGACUGAGACACGGCCCAAACUCCUACGGGAGGCAGCAGUAGGGAAUUUUCGGCAAUGGAGGAAACUCUGACCGAGCAACGCCGCGUGAAUGACGAAGUACUUCGGUAUGUAAAGUUCUUUUAUCGAGGAAGAAAAGCAAAUGGCGAACCAUUUGUUUGCCGGUACUUGAUGAAUAAGCCCCGGCUAAUUAUGUGCCAGCAGCCGCGGUAAGACAUAAGGGGCAAGUGUUAUCCGGAAUUAUUGGGCGUAAAGGGUGCGUAGGCGGUCUAGUAAGUCAGUGGUGUAAUGUCAACGCUUAACGUUGUCCGGCUAUUGAAACUGCUAAACUUGAGUUAGAUAGAGGCGAGUGGAAUUCCAUGUGUAGCGGUAAAAUGCGUAAAUAUAUGGAGGAACACCAGAGGCGUAGGCGGCUCGCUGGGUCUUAACUGACGCUGAGGCACGAAAGCGUGGGGAGCAAACAGGAUUAGAUACCCUGGUAGUCCACGCCGUAAACGAUGAGUACUAAGUGUCGGGUUAAACCGGUACUGAAGUUAACACAUUAAGUACUCCGCCUGAGUAGUACGUACGCAAGUAUGAAACUUAAAGGAAUUGACGGGACUCCGCACAAGCGGUGGAUCAUGUUGUUUAAUUCGAAGAUACCCGAAAAACCUUACCAGGUCUUGACAUGUUUUUGCAAAAUGAUAGUAAUAUCGUGGAGGUUACCAGAAACACAGGUGGUGCAUGGUUGUCGUCAGCUCGUGUCGUGAGAUGUUAGGUUAAGUCCUAAAACGAGCGAAACCCUUAUCGUUAGUUGCCAGCACGUUAUGGUGGGGACUUUAACGAGACUGCCAAUGAUAAAUUGGAGGAAGGUGAGGAUCACGUCAAAUCAGCAUGCCCCUUAUGACCUGGGCUACAAACGUGAUACAAUGGCUGUUACAAAGGGUAGCUGAAACGCAAGUUCUUGGCCAAUCCCCAAAAACAAUCCCAGUCCGGAUUGAAGUCUGCAACUCGACUUCAUGAAGUUGGAAUCGCUAGUAAUCGCGAAUCAGCAUGUCGCGGUGAAUACGUUCGCGGGGUUUGUACACACCGCCCGUCA
rnacentral:rRNA from 1 species